CCUAGGGUGGCUGCAGUGGGGAAUAUUGGACAAUGGGCGAAAGCCUGAUCCAGCCAUGCCGCGUGUGUGAAGAAGGCCUUCGGGUUGUAAAGCACUUUCAGUGGGGAAGAAAGCCUUGGGGCUAAUACCCUCGAGGAAGGACAUCACCCACAGAAGAAGCACCGGCUAACUCCGUGCCAGCAGCCGCGGUAAUACGGAGGGUGCGAGCGUUAAUCGGAAUUACUGGGCGUAAAGCGCGCGUAGGCGGUCUGAUAAGCCGGUUGUGAAAGCCCCGGGCUCAACCUGGGAACGGCAUCCGGAACUGUCAGGCUAGAGUGCAGGAGAGGAAGGUAGAAUUCCCGGUGUAGCGGUGAAAUGCGUAGAGAUCGGGAGGAAUACCAGUGGCGAAGGCGGCCUUCUGGACUGACACUGACGCUGAGGUGCGAAAGCGUGGGUAGCAAACAGGAUUAGAUACCCUGGUAGUC
rnacentral:rRNA from 1 species